CCUACGGGAGGCAGCAGUGAGGAAUAUUGGUCAAUGGGCGCGAGCCUGAACCAGCCAAGUAGCGUGAAGGAUGACUGCCCUACGGGUUGUAAACUUCUUUUGUCGGGGAACAAAGGCGGAGACGCGUCUCCGGAUGAGGGUACCCGAAGAAAAAGCAUCGGCUAACUCCGUGCCAGCAGCCGCGGUAAUACGGAGGAUGCGAGCGUUUGCCGGAUUUCUUGGGUUUAAGGGGUGCGCAGGGGGGAGAUCAAGUCAGCGGUAAAAUGUCGGGGCUCAACCCCGGCCGGCCGUUGAAACUGGUUUUCUAGAGUUGGAGAGAAGUAUGCGGAAUUCGUGGUGUAGCGGUGAAAUGCAUAGAUAUCACGAAGAACUCCGAUUGCGAAGGCAGCAUACCGGCUCCAUACUGACGCUGAGGCACGAAAGCGUGGGGAUCGAACAGGAUUAGAUACCCCAGUAGUC
rnacentral:rRNA from 1 species